GAUGAACGCUGGCGGUCUGCUUAACACAUGCAAGUCGAACGGAAUCUUUCGGGAUUUAGUGGCGGACGGGUGAGUAACGCGUGAGAAUCUGCCUUCAGGUUCGGGACAACAGCUGGAAACGGCUGCUAAUACCGGAUAUGCCGAGAGGUGAAAGCUUAAGUGCCUGGAGAUGAGCUCGCGUCUGAUUAGCUAGUAGGAGUGGUAACGGCACCCCUAGGCGACGAUCAGUAGCUGGUCUGAGAGGAUGAUCAGCCACACUGGGACUGAGACACGGCCCAGACUCCUACGGGAGGCAGCAGUGGGGAAUUUUCCGCAAUGGGCGCAAGCCUGACGGAGCAAGACCGCGUGAGGGAAGAAGGUCUGUGGAUUGUAAACCUCUUUUGAUAGGGAAGAAGACAGUGACGGUACCUAUCGAAUCAGCCUCGGCUAACUCCGUGCCAGCAGCCGCGGUAAUACGGAGGAGGCAAGCGUUAUCCGGAAUUAUUGGGCGUAAAGAGUCCGUAGGUGGGUAACCAAGUCAGCUGUUAAAUAGUGAAGCUUAACUUCAUAGAGGCGGCUGAAACUGGUUGUCUAGAGUGUGGUAGGGGUAGAGGGAAUUUCCAGUGUAGCGGUGAAAUGCGUAGAUAUUGGAAAGAACACCGGUGGCGAAAGCGCUCUACUGGGCCUGCACUGACACUGAGGGACGAAAGCUAGGGGAGCGAAAGGGAUUAGAUACCCCUGUAGUCCUAGCCGUAAACGAUGGAUACUAGGCGUUGCCCG
rnacentral:rRNA from 1 species